GGGGUAUACCUCAGUGGUAGAGUGCAUGCUUAGCAUGCAUGAGGGCCUGGGUUCAAUCCCCAGUACCUCCA
rnacentral:tRNA from 1 species